ACAUGUAUGUGUAAAUAUACUAAUAUAGAAAUUAAUAAAUUAACGUUAAUACAUCGAUUAAGACACACAUUAAUGAUCCCACGAAUGGAGAUGAUAAUUAUAAAUUUAUUGCGAUUCCAUACAUCGAAGGAAUAUCAGAACUAAUUGCAUCAUCAAUUAAAAAAUCUAAUAUAAAAAUAGGAUACAGGUGUAUAAGAAGGUUGAAUGGCAUUAUAAAACUCAAAAAGAUAAAAAUGAAUUAUCAAAUAACUCGAAUGUAAUUUAUAAAAUAAAUUGUAAUGAUUGCAGAGCUACAUAUAUAGGGCAAACAAAAAGGAAACUUUGCACCCGUCUUAAAGAACACAGAAAUAAUAUUAAGUCGGACUCAACAAGACUAUCGUAUAUAAACGUAUACGUUAUACAUUUGAUGAUCAAUGAAGGCUUAUAUGUUGGAAUAAAAGAAAAGGAUUUUAUAAUACAGAAUUAUGACAAUAUUGUAAACAAAACAUACCAAUUCGCACGAAUCAAAUCAGAAGACAAAGACAGUAUUUUAAAAGUUUAUUCUAAUCUAAUGUGUGGAUGUAAAAAAAUUGCAGUUUUGCAUACGUGGACAUACUUCAUGUGAAUAAUUUUUCAUAUUGUAUAUACUAUUUAUUUUACUGCUUUAAUUAUUGUUUAUUUAGAUGUUUUACUAUUCAAUGCCUCCGUAUUUACAAACUUUAUGACU